rnacentral:rRNA from 1 species
CAAUAGCGUAUAUUAAAGUUGUUGCGGUUAAAAAGCUCGUAGUUGGAUCUCGGCAGGCAGGGGGUGGUUCGCUCUUAGCGCUACUGCCCCAUUUGCCUGUGUGAUUGGCGGAGGUUUCGGGGUGCUCUUCGUUGAGUGACCCGGGGCGCCGUCAGGUUUACUUUGAAAAAAUUAGAGUGCUCAAAGCAGGCUUUUCACGCUUGAAUAUUCGUGCAUGGAAUAAUGGAAUAGGAACUCGUUUCUAUUUUGUUGGUUUUCGGAAAUCGAGUUAAUGAUUAAUAGGGACAAUUGGGGGCAUUAGUAUUCAGACGACAGAGGUGAAAUUCUUGGACCGUCUGAAGACUAACUACUGCGAAAGCAUUUGCCAAGAGUGUUUCCAUUAA